ACUCACGGACCUCGAGAUCGUGACCUGGCUGAAGUCGGACGCUUAACCGACUGCGCCACCCAGGCGCCCCGGUACGGUCUUUCUUGACUAGCAACUGCCCCUCUCCCACGUAGGGGCUUCUUGGCUUUAGAGAGUGGGGCACAUGGGCUCUGGGGAAAUUAUAAAGUGACAAAGGUCAUCUUUGGGAAACCUCUCGGCUGCCCAGGUGUGGCUCUUCCUCCUCUGAUGGCCUCAAGAUGAAGGAUUAAGCUGCAGCAGAAUGGACAGGGGGCAGGGGUGGGCAGGCUUUCCUGGCCCCUGAGGCCCUUCCCACAAUUAUCACAGUGUUCAGCUCCAAAUCAAAACCCACGGCCUACAGUGGGGUGGAAAAUGCCACAUAGAUGCUGGAGGCUGUCUGCUGGGGUCAUCCCAGACACCCAAUGCCAGCCUUGGCAGAGAAUCAGAGCCUCGAGGCCAUGAUGUGGGGUCCUGGAUCUAGCCAUGCCUGAAGCUGCCCCGUUGUCAACAGAACCUCCCUGCUUUCAGAGGCGGGUAAGGAGCUGGUGGAUUCGGUUCUGGACGAGCCGUGUGUCUCCUCAGCAUCCCCCAACACUCCCCACGGCCAUCGCUGGGGCUGGCUGCUUCCAAGGCUCUCCCUCUGCUGAGCCCACCCCCAGGGCAGGGAUGCAUCGGGUCCUGACGUCCUCUGAUCCCGGGGAGCCUGGAACCUCCGUGCGUGACGUUCACGCAGGUCUGCAGCUCCCUGUGCCCUCAGCCUCUCCUUUCCUUCCCCAGGCUAAAAACGCAGACAAGUGCACCCCCCACCCACCGUAACGGGUUCUCUGGAGUCUCGAGGGUGAGGAACGCCACCGCAGAAAAGGCGGCGAGGCCACAGCGCACGUGUUCUCUCUCUGCAGGACGGUUCUCAGAGCCUCAGCUCGGGGUGAACACAGAGCGGUUUUGUUGGGGCCAACAGCCCCUCCCGAUCAUGCUUUGCGGCCUCCUCCCCUGUGCGGGCCCCGCCACACCCGGUCACUUUGGGUGGUCGGGGUGCCGUCCUCUGUCUAAAGCAGCUUCUCAUCCCGCCCAUGGCCCCCCUGGCCGGAGCCGGACUGUGUCACACGGGGCUCCGGCUGCCCCCGGCCCAGGUGCCACCAGGUCUGAUGCCCCCAGCCUCGUGGCCUGCCCUCGCGAGUCAUCACGCAUAAAGCCCGGCAGGGAGGUUUCCGUCCCCGAAGGGCCUCUCAGGAUCGGAGUGGGGUGAAGGGGGAGUGGGAGUGUCAGGGGCUGCUUAGCUCCACUGCCAUUUACAACCUCAGUCACCGACUCCGGGGCUCUGGUGAGCACCUCCCUCUCAAUCCGUUCUCACCGUGCCCUCGCUAGCUCCCCAGAUGCCACCCCGCGGUCCCCGGCUCCUGGUGUCCGUGCCCUUGUGGAGUCUGGGCUGCUCUGUGCCAAGGUGAGUGGCAUCCGGGACGAGGUCACAGGCGACAUUGUGGUUUCCACCUUACCCCCUUUCGGAUCACUGACCCUGGUGGACCCCGGCCGCCACGCCGUGAGGACGUCCGCGUGGCUCUUCGGAGAUGCCAAGUGGCCGGGCACCGAGGGCCCUGCCAACGGCCGUGUGAACUCACCUUCUCGAAAACAGACCCUCCGGCCCCGGUGACACCCUCACGUGAUGCCACCCUGUCUGACAUCUUAGCUGCAGCCUCGUGAUAAACCCUGAGUCAGACCCCCCAAAUCCCUGAGCCACAGAAACCACAAGAUCCACCCGCAGCAGCAGCGACGGCUGAGGACCCGUAAUAAAGAAAAUGCAAUCGGACGCGCUGGAACGACGUUCCGCUUUCUCAUUGCUGACCGUCAACCUCCGCAGGCUCACGGCCGACCAGAGAGCACCCGCCCCGCCUGGCAGCAGGCAGCCCGGUGGGGCCCGAGGGCCAGCGGCCAGGGCGCUGGGAGGAGCCCCAUCCUGACGACAGAAGCCCGCCUCUGCCUGCCCGGUUUCUGCAGUGAGCACACCCUCUCAGAGAAGGACCUGGAAGCCCAGAAAGCCGCUGGCAGGGCUGAGAGAAGGAAGGGGGUCGGAAAGAGAGGUCUGUGUGCAGGUAGAGCCUGUGCACAUGUGUGUUACACACACACGUGACAUGCACACCAUGAACACGCCCCCACAUGCCCCUCACACACCAACACACACAGAACUAGGCUUUCCUCUUGCACAACAAGCACAAACUCCUGGGUCUCCAAUCAGCCAGAGCUGUGUUUCUGGCUCUCACUCUGUGCCGUAUCCAAUCUACUCCGUUUGCCACAAGGCCUACCCACCUCGGCACAGGUGAGCCUCACCUUGCCUCACUGCCUGACCAUGG